CGAGCGGACCGGAUUGGGGCUUGCCUUGAUUCGGUCAGCGGCGGACGGGUGAGUAACACGUGGGCAACCUGCCCGCAAGACCGGGAUAACUCCGGGAAACCGGAGCUAAUACCGGAUAACACCGAAGACCGCAUGGUCUUCGGUUGAAAGGCGGCCUUUGGGCUGUCACUUGCGGAUGGGCCCGCGGCGCAUUACCUAGUUGGUGAGGUAACGGCUCACCAAGGCGACGAUGCGUAGCCGGCCUGAUAGGGUGACCGGCCACACUGGGACUGAGACACGGCCCAGACUCCUACGGGAGGCAGCAGUACGGAAUCUUCCGCAAUGGGCGAAAGCCUGACGGAGCGACGCCGCGUGAGCGACGAAGGCCUUCGGGUCGUAAAGCUCUGUUGUGAGGGACGAAGGAGCGCCGUUCGAACAGGGCGGCGCGGUGACGGUACCUCUCGAGAAAGCCCCGGCUAACUACGUGCCAGCAGCCGCGGUAAUACGUAUGGGGCGAGCGUUGUCCGGAAUUAUUGGGCGUAAAGCGCGCGCCCGCGGUC
rnacentral:rRNA from 1 species